rnacentral:rRNA from 1 species
ACGGGGGGUGCAAGCGUUAAUCGGAAUCACUGGGCGUAAAGCGCAUGUAGGCGGAGUCAUAAGUUUGAAGUGAAAUCCCUUGGCUCAACCAGAGAACUGCAUUGGAUACUGCGAUGCUUGAGUGUGGGAGAGGGUGGCGGAAUUCCAGGUGUAGGAGUGAAAUCCGUAGAUAUCUGGAGGAAUACCAGUUGCGAAGGCGACCUACUGGCAGACAACUGACGCUGAGGUGCGAAAGCGUGGGGAUCAAACAG